AAGAUAUAGUUGGUUAGGUGCCAAAAAGAAGGAAGCAUUUUUUGUCAUCUCCAUCUAUAUAGACUGAUAAUAAAUGCUGCUGGAUUAAAUCAGGCAACAUCUAGUUGUUCAAGCAAGGAUCUAGAAGAAGCGAUUAAAAAUUAUUUACGAAGAGCAAAAGAACGAUUAAUCACAAAAAAUAAAGGAAAUUCCUUAUUGUAAUGCCUUGUAUUUAUUCAUAAUGUUCAAAUAAGAUAUUGUUUUGUUUGUAUGCAAUAAAGUUAGGUUGAGAUUUA